rnacentral:rRNA from 1 species
AACGAACGCUGGCGGCAGGCUUAACACAUGCAAGUCGAACGCAUCCUUCGGGGUGAGUGGCAGACGGGUGAGUAACGCGUGGGAACGUGCCCUUCAGUCCGGGAUAACCCAGGGAAACUUGGGCUAAUACCGGAUACGUGCGAGAGCAGAAAGAUUUAUCGCUGAAGGAUCGGCCCGCGUCUGAUUAGCUAGUUGGUGGGGUAAUGGCCCACCAAGGCGACGAGCAGUAGCUGGUCUGAGAGGAUGAUCAGCCACAUUGGGACUGAGACACGGCCCAAACUCCUACGGGAGGCAGCAGUGGGGAAUAUUGGACAAUGGGCGCAAGCCUGAUCCAGCCAUGCCGCGUGAGUGAUGAAGGCCUUAGGGUUGUAAAGCUCUUUCGUCCGGGACGAUAAUGACGGUACCGGAAGAAGAAGCCCCGGCUAACUUCGUGCCAGCCGCCGCAGUAA